CGUGCACACGUGUGUCCAUGCAUGAGGCGGUGUGUGCAGCCCUGGGCGUAACACGUGUGCACCCUUUGCUCUCUGGCGUGUGCUGCACACCGUGCGGACCAGCGCCGGUGUCCCCGGCGUCUCUGAGGACGCGUGACUCGUGUGUCCCUGUGUGCGUCCGUCUUCGCACCCCGCACCCAUCCCGCUGGGGCGGUUGGUUCCGCAGGAAGCUGUUGGGGUGCGGAUGGAGGUGCUGCGCCUCCCCGCUGCACCCCACUCCUCCUCCCGGAGACACGGGCAGGCCCCCCCCCGGGGCGAGGGUGGACGGGGACCCUGUCUUCUGCGCUCUCCUCGGACCCCUGUGCACACAGCUGGCGCGGAGAGGCGGUUGAGGAAGAGGAAGUAGAGGGCAGAGCUGGGUCACGCCGUGGCUACACCAGGCUGCGGCAGCCGGUGCUGCCUUGGGCUCCCCAGGAGCCCUGGCCGAGGGUCAUGGGGGCCACAGAAGCUGGCAGCCCGGCCGGAGACCCAGGCCACCGUGGGCCAGGAGCUGUGUGACGGCACUGUCCUGAAGUGAGUUUGCCCUGUGAGUCAGGGAGCAAGGAUUUUGCAGGAGGUUCUGAGCCCAAGUCAUGUGUCCAGCCCUUUGAUUCUGGAGCUGCAGCCUUGGCCACCAAGAGUAGCCGUGAGCCCUGGAGACCCGAGGACCCAGACGUUUUCUCCAUCAUGCAGGAUGAGCAGGAAGAUGAUUUUGCAGAACAGCUCAGCAAGAGCGCGGAGGACCUCAGCCUGGAUUGGGGGGCCCUGCAGGACAGCGAGUAUCUCCAGGACCUGGGCCUGGCGGCCUCUUCCCCCUGCCUGCCCGGUGGGGCCGCGGACAGCAGCUCCCCGAAGACAGAAACUGAGAGAGACGCGCCCUUCUCCAGCUCGGAUGGGGCCCAGACUCUGGUGCAGAGGCGCAGCUGGGAGCGGUCGCGGAGCUGCUCCGAGGACUGGCGGAGGCUCAGCUGCGACCCCCUGCCUUUGGAGGAGAUCCCCUGCCUCCCCCGGACACUGGCUAGUCUGGCUCUCAACCUGUCGGGAGAAGGCCUGAAGACUUGGACCCAGGGCUGUCUGCCUAGGGGCGGGGCCGCAGCAGAAUCCCCAGGCAAGGACCAUGGCAGCCCCAAGGAGAAGAGAGAGAGGUCACGAUCGGCGCCCCUGGCCUGCGGGGAGAGCAGCUCCCCAGAAGCGGCAACUGUGAGAGGCCUCGAACCCCCGGAGCUGGAGAGCCUGGAAAAGGAUCACGUGGAGCCCGACCACGUGGCGCGGCAAAGGGCUCACCUGGCCACCAGCCCCGGAGCGCCCCACUCCAGCCUCACCUGGUUCGAGUUCCUGUCGGAGAGCGAGGACUGUGCCUCCAAGAGUGAGAAGAGCACCAGGAGCACCAGGGUGAAGCGGAGUCUGAGCUCCCUCCGCAGCCGGGUCACCAGGCAGAAGGAGAAGGGAAAGAGCCCAGCGCAGCUGAAGGACAAGGCUCCGGACAGCAGGGAGAAGUGGGAAUGCACCAGCGGGCACCAGCUGGUGCGGGGGACCUUCGCCGGCCACUCCAGCUGCCCGCUGUGCAGCAAGCCGCUCCUGAGUCCCGGUGAGUCCCGCACCCCAAUCCACCCACCCUCCCUCUUCUUUGCCGCCUCAGCCUCCUUUGCACGAACCCAGUUGGUUCUGGAGGGCUGGUUGUAACUCAAGCUGGUCGUAACUCAAGCUGGUCGUGAAGGCGCAGGCUCGUCUACCCAGCCUUCAACGUCUCUCUGCUGUACACAGGCCGGUCUCAGGGUCCUCAGAGAGACACUGGCCCAGGUUUUCUCGGUGAACCCCACACAGGAAAAGGAUGUGGCAAUGUUCUUUCCAGAACUCUUUACGGGUCAGGUCUUUAUCUGAGGCCAUCUGGAAGCACAGGCGGCCGGCAUUUGGGUCGUAACUCGAGACGUUGUACCACCAAAGGUGGCCUUCUGGUCAUAACCCAAGUCAUUUGUAUGUCAGGCUGCUCAUGACUCGGGGGUCCGCUGUGUUUCCUCUUCCCCUGCAUGGACAGCUUUCUCGGGCUUUCUGGAGGGAAGCAGGGUUAGGUGACCACGGACAGAGGCAUUUGGGUGGUCUCGGGCCGCGACACCUCCUUAUGUCUGGACUUUUAGCCCUGCCAGGACCUGGUCCUGUUGGCUCAGGGCCACGCUACCCCGGUGUGGUCUCAGCUCUCCAUGCGUGUGCCACAACUGCAUUUGCAAAUAAGAUCACCUAGCCGGGCAUGGUGGCUCCCACCUGUCAUCCCAGCACUUGGGAGGCUAAGGCAGGAGGAUCGCUGGGAGUUCGAGACCAGCCUGGGCUACACAGUGAGUUCCAGGUCAGUCUCACUACAUAGUGAGACCCUGUCUAAAAAAAAAAAAAAAAAAAAAGCGAAAAACAAAAAACCAAAUAAGAUCACCUGCGGACGCCUGGGGAGGGAGGUUAGGCCGACAACCUGUGAACGAGGGGGGCCCUUUCGUCGUUAACAAGGGAAUUCCUAACCCCCAGAUUGUGGGGUACCGGUAACCAGGGUCUCUGCUCAGAAACUGGACGGAGAAGCUGGGCGUGGUGGUGCCCACCUGUCAUGCCAGCCACUCGGGGGAGGCUGAGGCAGGAAGAUUACAAGUUUGGGGCCGGCCGGUGAAAUUUAGCUAGACCUUAUCAUAAAUAAAAUAAAAUCAUAAAGUAACAUGGGCUGGGGACAUAGCUCAGUAGUAGACUCCUUGCCUAGCAUGCCCAAGGCCCUGGGUUCAAGGCUCAGGACUGCAGAAAGAGUUUCAAGAUAUCGCCAGAGG
rnacentral:lncRNA from 1 species